ACCCCAGGUUACAAACAUUCCUCCACAACAAAACAAACAUAACUCAAAUAAGUUAUGUUCUCUGUGGUAGGUAGUAAUCUAUGGAAAUUACUGGCGGCCAGAAUCCAAUUGAUAUUAGCUUUGGACGUAUAUGUUCUACGUCGGAUGGACGUCUGUUUUCUUCUUAUUUCUGGUGUUCAAAACAUUCCACCAACUCCCUCUGCAAUGAGGAUGCAAGGUUUGGAAUUUGAGAGAGAAUACCAAAGAUAUGUGAAAAUUAACUUUAGAUAUUUAUCAUCUGGGUCUACCACUUACUUUAGAACACAGUUUAUUUUUAAGAGUAUUUAUUUUUACAUUAACUUUCACAGAAUAUGUUUAGGACUUGACAAGAGCAAUGUUUUACAUUAAGAAACAAACAUGCAUUUAACACACUUACUGUAAACACCGUAUUUUGUUAGUGGCAGUGUGAAACAACUAGUGUAUAUUUUGCUACAAUUCCUGAGAAUUAGUAAGAUAUUUUAAGUGAUGUAUGUUUACAUAGCAAGUCAUAUUACCUUAACAAACCUUUAAGGGCAAAGAGAAGUUACACUUAUUCCAAUACAAAAGAA